GCCUCCCUUCCACUCACAGCCUUUUGAAGUAGCUCUGUGGACUUACACCAGAGAGAUGAAAAGCUGAAAUCCAGCUGCCGUUCAUUCCUGCUUUGAGAUUAGGAAAGGUAGAGCUGAAUUUCGGCUAUGAUACUCGGAAGCUUUUCCCCAGCUGAUGGAGGCCUGCCCUGGAGGUGCUCAGCUCCAUCUCUGCUGUCCAGGCUGUGAGCAAGAACACCUAAGAAAAGCCAGCAGCCUCCUUCACUCUCCCUCCCCAUCCAUUCAGAUUUUAGGAGAUCCCUGCAGGUGCCAGGGAUCCUGCCUCCAGCUUAGGUCCAGGGGAAAUUUCGGCCAAGAUGAAGCCUCUCAUUGGCUGCGUGGAUUCCAGCCUCCUUCAUUAACAUGAAGAGUGCCGUUCUCCCCGCUGUCUUAGGAGUUACAGAACAUUUAAAAGAUGAUUUGCAGACAGAUUAAGGACUUCAGAAGGAGAGAUGACACCAGACCUGGGUCUUGCAGAUGCAAACUGCUGUCAAGUGUGAGAGGAGGGGAGUAUUAUUCACCAGUGGCAGAUAUGCUGGGCAUCCGGGCAGAAUGAUAAGAGCUGCGGCCCUGCAGCCAGUCCCUGCAUUUGCACCCUGAGUUUGCCAUGAGCUGUGUGACCUUAGUCAAGUUUCUCAACCUUUCUGUGCCUCAGCUUCCUUCUCUGAAAAAUGGGGAUCAUGUUUUGCACACAGCCCAACACACAGCAAAUAUUCAGUGACUGCUGCUGCUUUCUGCCAUGGCUAAAGGUGGUGUUGUGGUUUUCCUUCCAGGUUUUUAUGCUUUAAUUUCCUAACUGUUCCUGCAUUACUUAACAGUUGAUGACGUGUGGGGCCAAGCUCUUGGCACACGUGAGCACGGUUGAUAUUCAAGGAGUGUUAACUCGGGUCCAUUUUUCUUUCCAUCGAACACAGCCUCCUGGUAAAAGAGCCAUUCAGGAUGCCUGGAGGAGCCCAGAUUUCAAAUCUGAUGAAGGCUGCAGUUCUAUAAAUUCCCUCCCUCUUUUGUGCUGAUGGCAACGACUUUUAUAUGUAUUUUCAUGUCUUUCUCUCCAGAGAUAAAUUUUGUGGCCUGCCACUGAAUCUGCUUCCUAAAAUGUAGCUUGGAGAUUUUAUUUGAGAUAAACUAUCAUGUGAAUAAAUAUAGAUACUAUAUUUU
rnacentral:lncRNA from 1 species